AGCAGUAGCCGCGGGAAUACGAAGGGGGCUAGCGUUGUUCGGAAUUACUGGGCGUAAAGCGCACGUAGGCGGAUAUUUAAGUCAGGGGUGAAAUCCCGCAGCUCAACUGCGGAACUGCCUUUGAUACUGGGUAUCUUGAGUAUGGAAGAGGUUAGUGGAAUUGCGAGUGUAGAGGUGAAAUUCGUAGAUAUUCGCAGGAACACCAGUGGCGAAGGCGGCUAACUGGUCCAUAACUGACGCUGAGGUGCGAAAGCGUGGGGAGCAAACAGGAUUAGAUACCCCUGUAGUCCCUGUCUCUUAUAA
rnacentral:rRNA from 1 species